CUUAUCUUGUUGUAUUGCUUUAUUGCCUCAUUUUCCUCGUUUCCAUUAUUAGAUUGUACUAUACUUGUUCAGCUUCUUUUCUUAUCCUAAUAGGUGUCUUGACCUGGCUUCGUCACUAUUCUAUUAAGGUUAGACUUGAUACUUAUCGGGUACCGUUAUCGUGUACUCAUACUACUUUUUCGCACAUUUUUGUGUAUAUCCAGGUACCUCAACCCAGGCUAGGCACCAGUGAGUAGAGCAUUCAGUUCGGAAACUUCAAAGUAUACCUGCCUGGCGUUCGCAGGCCUCACAUUUUUGUGCAGAUCCAGGUACCUCAACCUAGGCUAGGCACCAGUGAGUAGAGCAUUUAGUUCGAAGAUUUCAAGGUAUACCUGUUCGCAGGCCUUAGAGUCACCAUCUGUCCUUGUUUUUCUAUUGCUUACUCUUUGUUUAGACAGUGAUGUAUUAGGGAUGUUACAGUAUAUUCGUGUAGAACUUGUGACUCAGUCUCACCAGAUUCUAGGAGUUAUUGUCCGCGGUAUUGUAGAGUUCUUUUAUGAUAGCUGGAUGCUUUAAAUCUGAAGUUCUAUUAUUAUUUCCGCUAUUUCUCCAUGCAUG
rnacentral:lncRNA from 1 species